rnacentral:lncRNA from 1 species
GCAUUUAUAUGCUGCUGACAUUUUUUUUUCUUAACUACAAAAUCUUUUCAGAGAUAUGGUGGUUAUCUUUUAAAAGCUAAACUUAUAAUCCAAGACAGCAUAGGUCUGCCUAGUUUGGUUAAUUUUUAAAAAUCAUGUUAAUUAAGGGAAUGUAGUCCCUUAUAUGUUGCUGGGUAGGGAUAGAAUAAAAUAUUAGACCUAUCUGGACAGAAUUGCUGUAUUACCUGGAAGGCAAAGGUGACAUAGUUUAAAAUGGUCUAAAUCAGCAAUAGAGGUGUACAAAGUGCUUCUAGGGCUGGCACUGAUGUCAUAGUGGGUAACAUUGGAGCCACAUUUCUAGUGGGUGAGAGUUCAGCAGGCAGAAGAACAGGGAGGUCAUUUCUGACAAGGAAACGAAUGGCACUGAUUGCCACGUUAUUAAGAGUUGGCCAUAGUGACUUCCCCUUUUUUCUUGUGACAUGUUUAACCAACACUCCUGUUUCAUAGGGGGCUACUGAGUGGUCUCACUGUUACCAUAUUGCUGGGGACAACAACCCACUGGCAGUGAACAGAGCAGCAAAUAACAUCUCAUCUCUAUUGACUAAGAGCCAGAUUAAAGAUGGAAAAACAUCCUGGGGUUUGCCCAUUGAUGCUGUUCAGUGGGAUAUCUGCAACCUCCCUCUGCGAACUGCUUCUGUGGAUAUUAUUGUAACAGACAUGCCAUUUGGAAAAAGGAUGGGCUCCAAAAAGAGAAAUUGGAAUCUCUAUCCAGCUUGCCUUCGGGAAAUGAGCCGUGUCUGUAGACCAAGGACAGGCAUUAUCUGGAAUGGGACAUGUGUGGCGAAAGGUCCAUACAGUCUGGGUGAACAUCGGGGGCCUUCAUGCUGCAGUUUAUCUUCUAAAACGCACUCCUC